rnacentral:rRNA from 1 species
GAGUUUGAUCUUGGCUCAGGAUGAACGCUAGCGGCAGGCCUAACACAUGCAAGUCGAGGGGUAGAGUUAGCUUGCUAACUUGAGACCGGCGCACGGGUGCGUAACGCGUAUGCAAUCUACCUUGUACAGGGGGAUAGCCCAGAGAAAUUUGGAUUAAUACCCCAUAGUGUUAUGAUGUGGCAUCACAUUAUAACUAAAGUUCCAACGGUACAAGAUGAGCAUGCGUCCCAUUAGCUAGUUGGUGUGGUAACGGCAUACCAAGGCAAUGAUGGGUAGGGGUCCUGAGAGGGAGAUCCCCCACACUGGUACUGAGACACGGACCAGACUCCUACGGGAGGCAGCAGUGAGGAAUAUUGGUCAAUGGGCGCAAGCCUGAACCAGCCAUGCCGCAUGCAGGAUGAACGGUCCUAUGGAUUGUAAACUGCUUUUGUACGGGAAGAAACACUCCUACGUGUAGGAACUUGACGGUACCGUAAGAAUAAGGAUCGGCUAACUCCGUGCCAGCCGCC